CGGGGCAUAGCGCAGUCUGGUAGCGCAACUGCUUUGGGAGCAGUGGGUCGGGAGUUCGAAUCUCUCUGCCCCGA
rnacentral:tRNA from 1 species